rnacentral:lncRNA from 1 species
GGUGGUCUUCUCUUGAUCCCUUGUCUCUUUCUCCUCAUUAAGCAUCUAAAUUUUUUAGUGAUCAGGGCCAAAUCUUCAUCUUCCUCGCUAUUAUCUAAUUUUUCUAUGUCUUGUUCUUCCUGAGCUGUCGACUUGAGAGCGAUAGUCUUCUUUCUUAUUUCCUCCUCAGAGUGUUGCUUCAUGGUUAGUUCAUUAGUCAUGAGGGAUCCAAGAAGCUCCUCC